rnacentral:lncRNA from 1 species
CAGCAGGAGACAGAUGCCCCAACAACAAAGGCUGAAUUCACCACUGCAUAUGGUGGGCACUUGGUCCAUAUUGGGUGAAUGAAUGAACUGAUGGACUGGCAUUACAGUGAACGUGUCAUUCUCCCUCUCUGGAAACAGCAGUGGAAAUGCAAACAUGGCCACAUGGAGAUAACAGGUGUAGCAGAUCUCGAAGAAAAGAACUUUCCGGGAAAUCAGAGUAAAAAGCAAGGAUUUCAACCAUUCAGCAGUCCCACUCACACCUGCUCGGCUGUCUCCCCCAGGGCAGUGGGCCUGCCUGGGCUGCAGAGUGGACGGUCCCUGCUGGUCGCUAGUGUGGCACCCUCCUGCUGCAACUCUUUGGUGCUUUCCUCUUCCCAGUGAGUGCUAUGUGAUGUGAUGCUGGGAAUUUCCUCCCACUUCUCUUCAGCUUCCAGGAUGUGUACACUCAGAAUGGAUGGCUUUCACCGCACUGUUAUGCAAUAAAUCUGCCAGGCUGAAUUUCCUUCAGUGAGUCAAAAGAUGAGCCAGAAGCGGGUGGAAUUUAAAUAUAGAUCAGGCGUCCCUCAUGUGAUCUGGCCUUGCGGCUUUGAAGACUGACAAACCAAGCCCAUGAAUUGGUUGCUAGUGGACCUCUGCCGAGUCUUUGCUCAUGCACCCACUGUGGGCAAUGAUUCCUUUGAUACCCAAGUUUGCUUCUGUUUUACCUUUGUAGGGAGCAUGAGCUGGUUAGGC